CCUGAGAUACAAAGAACAUUUUGAUAUUUGGCAAAACUAAUACAAUUAUGUAAAGUUUAAAAAUAAAAUAAAAUAAAAAAACAAAGAACAUGGUAACUCCUCUCACAGCUGGUCAUUGGCUCAGGGAUAUGAAGAGCUUGCAAUUUAGUUUAGUCCUGGGGCGAAAACGCAGCUGAAAUGGGAACCGUUUCUUUUUCAUUCAUUCCUGUUUUCUUCUAUUAACAAGAACCAACAGAAUUUACAUCUCAAAAGAGUAACCUGUCACCAAAAGAAAUAUUCUAAUUACAAGACCAGUAUUUAUUUGUCAUUUCAAAAAAAAAAAGAACAAAGAAAAUCAUGUUAAAGAAACACCUAUAACCUCAACCUACAGGAAUUACCACUGUGGACAGUUAAGCAUUUCUACUUUCCAUUUCAUCUUGUUCACAAACAUGAAAAAAUAAGUCUAGAGAGAUGUGGGAAGUUCACAUUAUUUCAAAGAACCAGUGUUUUUCAAAGUCUCUGCAAGAAAAGAUAGUUUUGUUUCUUAAAAAAAAAAAAAAAAAUCUUCUUAUGUAGUUCAGUUGAGCUCCUCCCAUUUCCGACCUGAAACCCAGUGACCUGAUUCUGAGACACUGUCCUCUUGGAAGCUGUCACCAAAUAAUGUAAACUCAUUACCAAGAGAUCCAGAAGAAUGACGAAUAUGAAGUUUAUCUUCACUUCACUUCUAGCACUGGCCCUUCCAGGGCUGAGAAGAGCAGACUGGAUCAGAUCCCAGGAGUCAGAAGUGUCUGGAGAAGAGGGCAAGACUGUGAGCCUCUUUUGUAAUUAUUAUACUUCAUCUAAGAGCUUCAUUAAUCUCCUCUGGUAUCGACAGUAUCCAAAUCAGGCACCAGAAUAUAUUCUCUACAGACAAUGGGGGUCCUCUGGAAAAGGAUAUGCCAGUUUUGCCACAGAACGGUUUUACUCAGAUAAUACAGCCAACACAACAAAUUUGUACAUCAAAAAGGUGGUGCCUGCAGACACAGCCUUGUAUCUCUGUGCCCUGGAGAGGCACAAAGAGAAUACUGCAUAGGGUGGCCGUACAAGAACAUCAACGCACAGGAGGAAGCAGAAUGUAGCACCCAAAACCACACUGAGGAAACCAGAAUUGAAAGAGACACAUGUACCCUAAUGUUCAUCGCAGCACUGUUUACAAUAGCCAGGACAUGGAAGCAGCCUAGAUGUCCAUCGGCAGAUGAAUAGAUAAGAAAGCUGUGGUACCUAUACACGAUGGGAUAUUACUCAGCUAUUAAAAAGAAUGCAUUUGAAUCAGUUCUAACGAGGUGGAUGAAACUGGAGCCUAUUAUACAGAGUGAAGUAAGUCAGAAAGAAAAACACCAAUACAGUAUACUAACGCAUAUAUAUGGAAUUUAGAAAGAUGAUAACAAUGAGCCUAUAUACGAGAUAGCAAAAGAAACACAGAUAUAAAGAACAGACUUUUGGACUCUGUGGGAGAGGGCGACGGUGGGAUGAUUUGAGAGAAUAGCACUGAAACAUGUAUAUUAUCAUAUGUGAAAUAGAUCGCCAGUCCAGGUUCGAUGCAUGAGACAGGGUGUUCAGGGGCUGGUGCACUGGGAUGGCCCUGAGGGAUGGGAUGGGGAGGGAAGAGGAUGGGGGGUUCAGGAUG
ensembl:lncRNA